rnacentral:lncRNA from 1 species
GAGAUUUUUGGUGGUGGCUAAUUGAUCAUGGUGUCCCUAGGAAUGAAACAGCCGGGCAGUCUGCUGGAGUAUUGCUUGAUCUGCAACAUCGAAAAACUCUAGUUCUGGUGGCCAAACCCUGAUUUAAGUUGCCACGAUGGAGAGAAGGACCACUCACCAGGUUUUCUGGCCUAAGCCAAUUCACAGACUCAGAGCCUCUUGAGCAAGGACUCUUCAUUACGGUUUCAAGUCCACAGCAUCAGUGAGCUACCAUAGGCCCAUCCUGGACACAAUGGAGUUUUUCAAUCUGUUGACAUCCCGGCUGUGUUCAAGGUGCUGUUUAAAUUAUGAAGACUUAUUCAGUGUAAAUCGUGCAUAUGCCUCCUAAUGUUUUGCGUUUUAAUUACAGAUUCUGGGGGCUGGCCCCGUGGCCGAGUGGUUAAGUUCGUGCGCUCCACUGCAGGCGGCCCAGUGUUUCGUUGGUUCGAAUCCUGGGCGCGGACAUGGCACUGCUCAUCAAACCACGCUGAGGCAGCGUCCCACAUGCCACAACUAGAAGGACCCACA